rnacentral:rRNA from 1 species
GACAGAGGAUGCAAGCGUUAUCCGGAAUGAUUGGGCGUAAAGCGUCUGUAGGUGGCUUUUAAGUCUGCCGUCAAAUCCCAGGGCUUAACCCUGGACAGGCGGUGGAAACUACCAAGCUGGAGUACGGUAGGGGCAGAGGGAAUUUCCGGUGGAGCGGUGAAAUGCGCAGAUAUCAGGAGGAACACCGAUUGCGAAGGCAGCUCGCUGGGACGUAACUGACGCUGAGACGCGAAAGCGUGGGGAGCAAACAGG